AUCUGUGCCCUCCUUGUUAUGUACCUUCAAGUCGAUUACAACUUACGGCGACCCUAUGAAUCAGUGACCUCCAAGAGCAUCUGUCAUGAACCACCCUGUUCAGAUCUUGACUAAAGCAGCACCACUCCAACAACUGAAGUGCCCGGUUACCCCAACACAGACAUUUUGGUGCAUGGUUUUCAUACGUGGAUUGGACAUCACCAGGCAUACCCAUCAUACAGCAUAACUGGAAUUCAAUUUGUACUACUGAUUGAUCCUAUGCAGUAGUCAGUGAACAAGCUUAGAAACUGAUGAUACUGUCAGUUCCUUUUUAUAUAUUGUGUACACCACAGAUCCUCCAGUAUGUUUCAAACGUUUCUGGGUGUGUUCUUUGUGCACAGAAUGUUAUCAGAAGCCAUAUAAGAGCACAGAUUUGUAUGCUGGGCCUAACAUGGAAUUUUCCAACCCUGUCUUUAUGGUUAAAUUAGCUCAAUGAGAAUGUUUUCAUGUCUUUGUAGUCUGUUUCUGGAGAGCUAAACAUGGUGCAAUCCUGCUAAUUUCACAGCUCCAAGCCAAGCAGCAUUUACUGAUAUUCGUAAUGUGGACCCAAAGGAGAUUGUUCAUGAAAAUGUCUGGGAUAUAAAGCUUAGCUUUAUGUAAGCAGACAGCUGUCAACCUCUUAAGCCAGAAACAUGCAAGAAGCUUUGCACUCCUUGCCUCUUUCUGUUUCAGAGAUUGUGUAUGGAUGGCAAAAAUUGCAGUCUUGUUGCCACCUAUGGCACAUGUAGGAGUAUACAGACACUAGUUUGUGGUCUGAAGCUGCCCCAGUAAGUGCAGCGGAGCUAAUUAAAGUUUGCUUGGUUUAGAAUGACCAGUUUUUCAUAAGAACAGAAUUGCACCUUUGUGUAUGUGCGUAUGGGAUGAGGGAUAGGGAAAAUGAUUAUUCCACAGAAGCCAUACAGCAACUCUGUAAGCAUGAAAACAUUAACCUAGACCAUGAGUCUGCUGUUAGGCUCAGAAUCACUUCCAUCAUGUAUUUUUUCAAUUCUUUAUCU